GACGAACGCUGGCGGCGUGCUUAACACAUGCAAGUCGAACGGAAAGGCCCUGCUUUUGUGGGGUGCUCGAGUGGCGAACGGGUGAGUAACACGUGAGUAACCUGCCCUUGACUUUGGGAUAACUUCAGGAAACUGGGGCUAAUACCGGAUAGGAGCUCCUGCUGCAUGGUGGGGGUUGGAAAGUUUCGGCGGUUGGGUAUGGACUCGCGGCUUAUCAGCUUGUUGGUGGGGUAGUGGCUUACCAAGGCUUUGACGGGUAGCCGGCCUGAGAGGGUGACCGGCCACAUUGGGACUGAGAUACGGCCCAGACUCCUACGGGAGGCAGCAGUGGGGAAUAUUGCACAAUGGGCGGAAGCCUGAUGCAGCAACGCCGCGUGCGGGAUGCCGGCCUUCGGGUUGUAAACCGCUUUCGCCUGUGACGAAGCGUGAGUGACGGUAAUGGGUAAAGAAGCACCGGCUAACUACGUG
rnacentral:rRNA from 1 species